rnacentral:rRNA from 1 species
UACAGAGGUCCCAAGCGUUGUUCGGAUUCACUGGGCGUAAAGGGUGCGUAGGUGGUUGGGCAAGUCUGAUGUGAAAUCUCCGGGCUUAACCCGGAAAUGGCAUUGGAAACUGCCCGGCUAGAGUGUUGGAGGGGGGACUGGAAUUCUCGGUGUAGCAGUGAAAUGCGUAGAUAUCGAGAGGAACACCAGUGGCGAAGGCGAGUCCCUGGACAACUACUGACGCUGAGGCACGAAGGCCAGGGGAGCAAACGGG